rnacentral:rRNA from 1 species
UCUGGCGACCGGCGCACGGGUGAGUAACGCGUAUGCAACCUACCUUUAACAGGGGCAUAACACUGAGAAAUUGGUACUAAUUCCCCAUAACAUUCGAGAAGGCAUCUUCUUGGGUUAAAAACUCCGGUGGUUAAAGAUGGGCAUGCGUUGUAUUAGCUAGUUGGUGAGGUAACGGCUCACCAAGGCAACGAUACAUAGGGGGACUGAGAGGUUAACCCCCCACAUUGGUACUGAGACACGGACCAA